rnacentral:rRNA from 1 species
UCCUGGCUUAGAGUUAACGCUGGCAUCGUGCAUAACACAUGCAAGUCGAACGGGACUUACUUGAGUAGCAAUACUUAGGUAAGUUAGUGGCAGACGGGUGAGUAAUACAUAAGGAACGUACCUCCGAGUGGGGAAUAACAGUCCGAAAGGAUUGCUAAUACCCCAUAACAUAACCUAGUGGCAUCACUUAGUUAUCAAAGAUUUAUCGCUUGGAGAGCGUCUUAUGGUCUAUCAGCUUGUUGGCAGUGUAACGGACUACCAAGGCGACGACGGAUAGCCGGCCUGAGAGGGCGACCGGCCACAUUGGGACUGAGACACGGCCCAAACUCCUACGGGAGGCAGCAGUGGGGGAUAUUGCACAAUGGGGGAAACCCUGAUGCAGCCGACGCCGCGUGAAGGAGGAAGUGCUUCGGCAUGUAAACUUCUAUCAGCAGGGAAGAAGAUGACGGUACCUGACUAAGAAGCCCCGGCUAACUACGUGCCAGCCGCUGC